GUUUUCCAUGGCACAUAAAUAAAGUGCAUCAUCCCCUCUGAUCUCAUUAUGUUCCUUUGUGAUGUGGAUAGCACAGGGGAAUUGUUUCCAUUUGCAGAUGUGGAGAAUGAGUCCCAGAGUGGGUAAGAGCCACCUUUCCAUGCUGCCAGCACUAGAGCAAGAGAAGACUGAGAUGCAGGGCAGUGCUGGGCCGAUCUGCCUGCCUUCCUUCUUCCCUCUUAGCCUGAGUGGGAUGUGCUGCCUGCUCCCUAUGCCCAUGGUCACUGCAGCUACAGUGCAUCUGAAACUGAGCUCAACAUUCCUUUCAAAUCGGCCACUACGGUUUGCAGAUAGUGUGUCCCCAUCAGACUUCAUGUUGAAGGUGGCCCUGUGUGUGACAGCCUGGAGAGUCGUCUUCAGAGAGCUGCCCCAGGAAAGGGCAGCAACCUCGUG
rnacentral:lncRNA from 1 species